CCAUGCGUCAGGGAAGUGAGGUGAAAAUCCUCCACAGUGCCGCUACGGUCAUAGUCCGAGCACUGACGCAAGGUGCCGUUAUUCCAUAGUAACUCCGAGCAGAGUUAUCAUAUGGUCUUAUGCGCAG
rnacentral:ncRNA from 31 species